UGGGGAAUAUUGCGCAAUGGGGGCAACCCUGACGCAGCAACGCCGCGUGCGGGACGACGGCCUUCGGGUUGUAAACCGCUUUCAGCAGGGAAGAUCGUGACGGUACCUGCAGAAGAAGCCCCGGCUAACUACGUGCCAGCAGCCGCGGUAAUACGUAGGGGGCGAGCGUUAUCCGGAUUCAUUGGGCGUAAAGCGCGCGCAGGCGGCCCGCCAAGCGGAACCUCUAACCCCGGGGCUCAACCUCGGGCCGGGUUCCGGACUGGCGGGCUCGAGUGCGGUAGAGGCAGGCGGAAUUCCCGGUGUAGCGGUGGAAUGCGCAGAUAUCGGGAAGAACACCGAUGGCGAAGGCAGCCUGCUGGGCCGUUCACUGACGCUGAGGCGCGAAAGCUGGGGGAGCGAACAGG
rnacentral:rRNA from 1 species